rnacentral:rRNA from 1 species
UGGAUCCAGACUUUGAUCAUGGCUCAGGACGAACGCUGGCGGCGUGCUUAACACAUGCAAGUCGAACGAAGCUUGAUUUAUGAUUUCUUCGGAAUGAAUAAUGAUAUGACUGAGUGGCGGACGGGUGAGUAACGCGUGAGCAACCUGCCCUUCGGAGGGGGAUAGCGUCUGGAAACGGACGGUAAUACCGCAUAAAGUGUCUUGACCGCAUGAUCGAGAUACCAAAACUGAGGUGCCGAAGGAUGGGCUCGCGUUGGAUUAGAUAGUUGGUGGGGUAACGGCCUACCAAGUCGACGAUCCAUAGCCGGACUGAGAGGUUGAACGGCCACAUUGGGACUGAGACACGGCCCAGACUCCUACGGGAGGCAGCAGUGGGGAAUAUUGCACAAUGGGGGAAACCCUGAUGCAGCAACGCCGCGUGAAGGAAGACGGUUUUCGGAUUGUAAACUUCUGUUCUUAGUGAAGAAUAAUGACGGUAGCUAAGGAGCAAGCCACGGCUAACUACGUGCCAGCAGCCGCGGUAAUACGUAGGUGGCAAGCGUUGUCCGGAAUUACUGGGUGUAAAGGGAGCGCAGGCGGGAAGCCAAGUCAGCUGUGAAAACUACAGGCUUAACUUGUAGACUGCAGUUGAAACUGGUUUUCUUGAGUGAAGUAGAGGUUGGCGGAAUUCCGAGUGUAGCGGUGAAAUGCGUAGAUAUUCGGAGGAACACCGGUGGCGAAGGCGGCCAACUGGGCUUUAACUGACGCUGAGGCUCGAAAGUGUGGGGAGCAAACAGGAUUAGAUACCCUGGUAGUCCACACUGUAAACGAUGAUUGCUAGGUGUGGGGGGUCUGACCCCUUCCGUGCCGCAGCUAACGCAAUAAGCAAUCCACCUGGGGAGUACGACCGCAAGGUUGCAACUCAAAGGAAUUGACGGA